UUUGGAGUCCUUUUAGGGCUGUUUGCAGGCUAGAAAAAAGAGAAGGUUGAGCCUCUGAACAAAGAACAAGGGCAUUACACAGUUAAACCCUUUGAAGAGGAAUUCAUCAUCUCAGGCAAGCAUGAACAAACCUUUGAUCACCCAACCUUGAUGAGCUGGAAGGGGUAUCUGUUGAGUCUCCUCUUGGAUUUCAAAUCUCCCUGAUUUUUUGGUUUGAGAUCCAUACUAUAUUCAAAUGACCUGACUUCAUGCUCAAGGGGGAUUAAAGUUCUACUUUAAACCUUUAAGAGGAAAUCUCUGAAGAAAUCGUGGAUGGAAAUCCUGGCCAGUUACAUUCACUGAACCUUGAAACAAUUGUUACAAGAAACUCAACACGCCUGACUCAGGGUUACUGUUCAUUCUUCUGGAAGCUGCAGAGAAAGGGAACCUGGAAACCUGAGUUUUGCUCUUGCUGCUUAGACUGGAGUGCAAUGGCAUGAUCUCAGCUCACCGCAACCUCUGCCUCCUGGAUUCAAAUGAUUCUCCCGCCUCAGCCUCCCGAGUAGCUGGAAUUGCAGGCAUGUACCACCAUGCCUGGCUAAUUUUGUAUUUUUAGUAGAGACAGGGUUUCUCCAUGUUGGUCAAGCUGGUCUUCAACUCCCGACCUUAGGUGAUCCACCUGCCUCAGCCUCCCAAAGUGCUGGGAUUACAGGCGUGAGCCACUGCACCCGGCAAUACUAAUGGUUUAUCCAAGUAUCUGCUUAUCUGAAAUUCAAAUAUCACUGAGCUUAGCAUUUUCAACAAUGUAGAUGAUCAUAGAAGACAUUAUGCUAAUUGAAAGAAGCCAGUCACAGAAGGACAAAUACUGCAUGAUUCUACUUACCUGACUUAUCUUAAAUAGUCGAAAUCGUUGAAGCAGAGAAUAGACUGGUGGUUGCCAGGGGCUGAAGGGAAGGAGGAAAUGUGGAAUUGUUGCACAACUGGUAUAAAGUUUCAGUUAUACAAUGUGACUAAGUUUUCAAGCUCUGCUAUACAACAUUGUACUUAUAGUUAACAAUAUGGUAUUAUGUACCUUAAAAUAUAAAGAGAAUAGAUCUAUUGUUGAGUAUUCUUACCACAAACAAACCAAAAACUUACAGAAGAACACAAGAACAUUUUUGUAGGUGAUAAAUAGGUUGAGUAGCUUGAUUGUGGUGAUAUAGUGAGUAUAUGGUAUAUGCAUAUGUCCAAACUCUUCAAAAUGCAUAUAUUAAAUAUGUACAAUUUUCAUAUAUUAACUAUAUACUAAAAGCUUAUAUAUAUAAAUAUAGCUUAAGAAAAAUAUUGCAUUUCUAAGUUUUGUUAGAAAAAUUUCAAUUACUCAUAGAGGUACUAGUUUCACUCUUAAUUAUGUGCAGUGUAUUUUAUUAUCCAUAGGAUACUAUUGGAGGCUCACCAACUCUAAAUUGUUCAUGCAUAGUUCCUAUCACUACCAUUUUCAAAUACCAAGUAGAAAAGACCUACAUGAGUGAUGUAUUAAACAAAGAAAUAAACAAUCCACAAACAUUUCUUGAGUAUCUAUUAUAGAAACAGCAUCCAAGGAAAUAAUUGGAUAAAGAAUAGGAAAGGUUUUUGUUUGUCGGUUUGUUUUUAUCUUCCGGAUACAUAAUAAAUUACUUGUCAGUUUUCUGUCAAGAAAUCUAUUAAGCCAAAAGGUUGUAAGAAUGCACUGAGUUGGUUGUGAGGGUGGUAGCAAAUAAUCUUACAAGAAAAAUUUUAAGACAAAAUAGAAAGAAUGAAUGGCAAAUUUACAAAUUUAGAGAUUGCUUAAGAUUUGUUCCAAUAAUGAAUAAAUAAAAGUAAAUUAAAAUGAAAGUUUAAAAACAAAACAAAUUUAACUGGUUACACUGUUUUAUUUUUUUCUCCUAAUUCUGGCAACCCUAUGCCCAUUAAUAGGAAAAUUUGAUAUUUUUGUGCAUUGUAUCACUACAAACGAAUAAAAAGAAUAAACUAUUGAUAUAUUCAAUAACACAAAUAAAUCUCAAAAUAAUUAUUGAGUGAAAAAAGCCAGAGAAAAAUCAAUGGUAGUAUAAUUCUAUUUACAUAAAAUUCUAUGAAAUGAAAAGUAAUGGACAGUGACAGAAAGCAGAUUAGUGGUUGCCAAGGAAUGGGAGAAGGGGCAUAGUGCAGGUGCAGAUAGUUAUUACAAGGAGAAAAAAAAUUGGGGGGUUAUUGGUAUGUUCAUUAUCUCAAUUGUGGUGCUGAUUUUCACAGGUGUAUACCUAUGUUUAAACUCAUCAAAUUAUACAUUUUAAAUGAAUGCACAUUAUUUUAUGGCAAUAGUCUCUUAAAGUUAGUUUUAAGUAAAUAAAAAUUCAAAAAGAAGAAAAUAAAAAUAAAAUUUAAAAUUCAAUAACAUUCUUACUUGUUAAAGGUAGGUAAAGAAAGUUAAAAACUAAAUGUAUAUAAAUAAAGAGGUGUGGUUUUUAUAUAAAAAUACACAUAUUCUCAUAUAAAAUAAAUAAUUUAAAUGAACACAUUACUUGUUCAUGAAAGGGAAAAGGCAUUUUGUAGUUUAAUGUAAAUUUCAGCAGCCCGGCAUAGUGGCUCACGCCUGUAAUCCUAGCACUUUGGGAGGCCAAGGCAGGAGGAUACCUUGAGCGCAGGAGUUCGAGAUUGGCCUGAGUAACAUAGGGAGAUCCUAUCUCUGUUAAAAAGUAUAUAAAUAAAUAAAUAAAUUUUAGCAGAAUAAUUAUGAUUUUUUAAAAGUUUAAAUUAUUCUCAAAUCUGUUUAUAAUACCAAGUGUCUAGAAUUCUAAAAUAUUUGUUCAAAGAAGAAAAAUAUGAAGUAUACAGUUAGAGAAAACAAGAUGUUAAAUAUUUUGCAAGAAACUAAGUAAUAAUUUUAUGUUUUCAUUUAACACAAAUACAUUAGACAUAUAUUAUUUGACAGUUAUUCUUGGAGUCACUGCUACAAAAAUAAAAAAUAUGUCAAAGUUACUUUCUUGGGCUCAUAUUCUAUAGGUGGUAAUAGUAAAAAGUAAAUUCAAGAAAACAAUAUAAUUCCUGACAAUGUACAUUACUAUGGCAACAAAAAGGCCAGAAGUAACAGAAGAAAACGGAAGUGAAGUGUAUUAUUCUUCAUAGGAUGUCUGGGUAAGGUCUUUUCGAAGAGGCAAUGCGUGAUUUCAAAUUUGAAUGGAGGAAAGGAGAAAACCACUCACUCUCUGAAGAACAUAAUUUCAGUCCUGGGUAAAAAGUUUGGCAAACUUGAAGACAACCAUGAAGACUACUGAGUUUGAAGCCCAAUCAGUGAGAAAAAGAAAAAAAAAAAUCGUGAGAAAGGAGCUCAGAGAGGUAGUCAGAAACUAGAUUACAAGAUAUCCUACAGGCAAUGAUUGGACUUUGAAUUUUAUUUAUUCUAAGAGUAAUAGGGAAG
rnacentral:lncRNA from 1 species